GCUCCGUAGGUGAACCUGCGGAGGGAUCAUUACAGAGUUCAUGCCUUACCGGGUAGAUCUCCCACCCUAUGUUAUUAUUACUUUGUUGCUUUGGCGGGCCGUUAGGCUCCGGCCCGACUACCGGCCCCGGCUGGUAAGCGCCCGCCAGAGGACCCAAAACCCUGAAUAUUAGUGUCGUCUGAGUACUAUAUAAUAGUUAAAACUUUCAACAACGGAUCUCUUGGUUCUG
rnacentral:misc_RNA from 1 species